rnacentral:lncRNA from 1 species
CCAGGAGCUCAAGGAAGGGGAUCCUUUCCAGGGAAUAAAGGCAGACUCUGAGGAAGAAACUUCUGGUGGGAAAAUAUAAUUUCUCUUAAAGCUUUGAGGCCAGCUGGGGGUUAGAUUUAGUUGGUGGCCAACAAUCCCAUAAAUCAACCUGAAGAUUUUCUCAGAGAAACUAAACCCAUUAUCAAGUUAAGGAGAAAUUGACCUUGAUGUGGUUGUCUGUUCAGUUGUUACAAGAUAGGUGGUAGCAAAUUAAUUUUCCUUAAUAACUCAUGGAGGUUUGGAGGUGAGUGGUACAAUUUACAAACUCCCCGUAAGCCCUCCGAUAAUAUAAAUAUUCCUCAGAAGCUCUUCCUCAGGUCUCUGGACAGGUGUGGCAGGGAGCUGAAUUUUCCUACAGGAUAAAUUCCUUUUACUUAGCAAGUCCUUCUUUCGAUAGGCCUUUCUGCGUUCAAGGGCGCUGAGCUUGCUUCUGAAGGAUGGGAGAACCAAUGGUCAACGAGUGAGCACCAGACACCAUUGUGCACCUGCCGAGUACUGUUUUGGGCACUGGGGACACAGUGAUGAACAAAAAUCCGCAAGAGCAGAUUUUUGCUCUUUAACUGCUCCAGUGCCUCCUGCUGAUUUCCACAUGUGUCCAUCUGCCUCUUUGAUCUUUGGGAGCAGCCUUACAUUUAAUAUGGAGUUUGUAUUUGGUGCUAGUGUUAGAUCUGAAGUGAACUUCUGACAGCAUUCAGGGACAACAAGAAACACAGGCAUGGCACCUGCGAACACUUUUGAGUUCACCGUCUUUCUCGCCAUUUCCAAGGGCCAUUGGGCAAGUCAGCUUGAGCUGAUAAAGGAUUCUAAGCAUGGAAUUAGAAAAAGAUCAGGGUGAGCUGGGAUUCAUUAUGUGCAAAAACUAGUUACCCGUCUGUCAUAGCUGUUGACAGAAGCUUCCUCUCCUGCAAUGUGAUCUGGUUUGACUAUUGGAUGUGAAUGGCAUAGAGUCUAAAAUCAAAACAUAACUCUUAGGUUUUAGUGACAACUUUUCAG